rnacentral:rRNA from 1 species
GAUGAACGCUGGCGGCGUGCCUAUACAUGCAAGUCGAGCGAACAGAUGAGAAGCUUGCUUCUCUGAUGUUAGCGGCGGACGGGUGAGUAACACGUGGGUAACCUACCUACAAGACUGGGAUAACUCCGGGAAACCGGGGCUAAUACCGGAUAAUAUUUUGAACCGCAUGGUUCAAUAGUGAAAGACGGUUUCGGCUGUCACUUAUAGAUGGACCCGCGCCGUAUUAGCUAGUUGGUAAGGUAACGGCUUACCAAGGCGACGAUACGUAGCCGACCUGAGAGGGUGAUCGGCCACACUGGAACUGAGACACGGUCCAGACUCCUACGGGAGGCAGCAGUAGGGAAUCUUCCGCAAUGGGCGUAAGCCUGACGGAGCAACGCCGCGUGAGUGAUGAAGGUCUUCGGAUCGUAAAACUCUGUUGUUAGGGAAGAACAAAUUUGUUAGUAACUGAACAAGUCUUGACGGUACCUAACCAGAAAGCCACGGCUAACUACGUGCCAGCCGCCGCCGUAA